AAGAAAAAGUAUUCCUUCUCCAUAUUUCUUUCUCCUUCUUCCAUCGUCGCCGCAGUCGCACGUCCGAUAGCCACCGGCUGCUCUAUCGUUCUUCUUCUUCUUCUUCUCUCUUAUCUCCCUUGCUCCACCAAACGGCACCUACACACCGACCUCCAUUUCUGAUUUCUCUUCUUCUAUCCUAUCUUCCUCUCUGUAUUGCCGUUCUGGAUUGCCGGCACGCCCCCACGACAACCACGUCUUCUGCUGCAGCUCUCCAUCAAUCGGUCGAAUUCUACCUGGGUCCGAACACAGGGUAAGAGAUUUCAGCGCCAAUGGCUUUUGGAAGCGUCUCGUUCCCAUCUACAGCUCCCAUUUCUCAUGUUCAAAGAUUUCAAGACUUGCAGUCCUUUGGUGGAAUAAACCACGUUAAACCAUACUCGUCAACUGGCCUUGUUUCUGAGUUAGCCUCAAACUGCAAAGCUAGUAAACUAUUUUUGGGCACCAGGGGUUCAUUCCAAACAAGAGCCACAGUGAUAUCUGGAGAAGGAGGAAUUUUGUCUUCUUCCAAUGGCAAUGCUGUUGUGGCGAACAAUACCAAUAGUUUUCCCAUUGAUGAAGAUGAAUAUGAUUUUGAUCGUCCAACAGAAGGUUUUGCUUCUGUAGCCGAUGCCGUUGAAGAUAUUCGCCAGGGAAAGAUGGUGCUUGUCGUUGAUGAUGAGGAUAGAGAAAACGAGGGAGAUCUGAUAAUGGCAGCACAAGCUGCAACUCCUGAGGCCAUGGCUUUCAUUGUAAAGCAUGGAACAGGAAUUGUUUGUGUGGCCAUGAAAGGUGACGAUCUGGAGAGGUUACAGAUUCCACUUAUGGUGAACGAAAAGGAGAACGAGGAGAAACUUUGUACUGCUUUUACUGUGACAGUGGAUGCAAGAGAAGGUACAACCACUGGAGUCUCAGCUACUGAUAGGGCAGCAACAGUAUUGGCACUUGCAUCAAGAGAUUCAAAACCUUAUGAUUUUAAGCGGCCAGGCCAUAUAUUUCCCCUCAAGUACAGGGAAGGUGGUGUUUUGAAGAGAGCUGGGCAUACUGAAGCAUCUGUCGAUCUUGCAAUGCUCGCUGGAUUAGAACCGGUUGGUAUCCUUUGUGAGGUAGUUGAUGAAGACGGUUCUAUGGCUAGGUUACCAAAACUUCGUGAGUUCGCCAAACAGGAAAACUUGAAAAUCAUCUCCAUUGCUGAUUUAGUCAGAUUUAGGAGGAAGAGGGAUAGAUUAGUUGAACGUGCUGGGGAUGCUGCUCGCAUGCCGACUACAUGGGGUCCAUUUCAGGCAUAUUGCUACAGAUCUAUUUUGGAUGGAAUUGAGCAUAUUGCAAUGGUUAAGGGUGAUAUUGGUGAUGGACAAGAUAUCCUAGUGAGGGUACACUCGGAAUGCCUCACUGGAGAUAUUUUCGGAUCAGCUAGAUGCGACUGUGGGAACCAGCUUGCUCUAGCGAUGCAACUGAUCGAGGCAGAAGGCAGGGGUGUCUUGGUUUACCUUCGUGGACAUGAAGGACGGGGCAUAGGUUUGGGCCACAAACUUCGUGCAUAUAACUUGCAAGACGCUGGGCGAGAUACUGUCGAAGCCAACGAGGAACUAGGAUUGCCUGUGGAUUCUCGUGAAUAUGGCAUAGGUGCACAGAUUCUAAGGGAUCUUGGGGUGAGAACAAUGAAACUAAUGACAAACAACCCAACAAAGUACAAAGGCCUAAAGGGUUAUGGCUUAGAAGUCUCAGGUAGAGUUCCCCUGAUAACCCCAAUUACAAAGGACAACAAAAGAUACCUAGAGACGAAGCGUGCCAAAAUGGGGCACGUCUACAACAUGGAUGUUGGUGGACGAUUUAGAAAUCUGAUCGAUGGGCAUGAAAUAUCCAACGGUAGUUCAGCAUCAAGUGAUGCUGUGGCUUGAGCUAGCAAUGUCGAAAUUCAAAGAGAAAAAAAAAAACAGUUGGUUAUCAAAGGUGUUGGAAGUGAAAUGACUGCUGCAGCUGCUGGCUGACUCAUAAGAUAAAAGGCUAACUUGUUCUGAAAAUCAUAACACUGCGUAUUAUAAUUAUUAUUGAUUUGGUUUCAUUUGUCAGGAUUAUUGUUUGAUUAAGUUUGAAACAAUAGAACCAUUGAUGAUCUGUAGAAUGAGUUUACAGUGCUACUCGCUACGGUUCCUAAGCCGUCACAUACGCCUUCUCUUUUUUUAGCCCCUUUUCCUGUUUGGUUUGUCUGACUGCACGAAAAAUGCCUUUUUUUUUUAAAAGCUUUUGAUAUAGCCUUUUCUACUAUAAAAGAGAAAAAAAAGGUACAAAUCCCCUCCCAUGUCUCAUUUUCUACUCAUCUAUACAGUGAUUGAAUGCCUCCUCCGGCUCACCGCCUGCCGAGGUCAGUUCUCCCUCCCCCCAUCUAUAGUUUCAUCCCUUCUUUCCUUUUCCUGUGUGGGUUCUGUUUGUUUCUUGAAAAUUUCAUUUUCGGUUUUGCAGUGGAUAGUGUACUGCCAGAUGUUCACUUCUCAAUUUCUCUUUUAUGUUCCAGCUAAGUGGGAGUCUUUCACUUUCUCCCAUUUGGACGACGAGGGAAAUCAGCUGAGACAAGGGAGGGUGGCCAUUCUGGAAAGCGUCACACUAGAGAGUUCACUACCAUUUUCCAUAACUUGGGGAUCUUGGGAAUUCGCAACUCUCUUUUGCUCGUUCUCUUUCAGUUGAUUUCAGUGGUUUCUUUGCAUCUAUGGAGUUUAGAUUUGUCUGGUUCUUGUUGGGAAAUUUUUUGAGUUGAGUUCCGAAUCUUCUUCUUGUGCACUUUGUAAUUGUGCAAAUUGUGAAAUCCUUUGUAAUGCUGUGUUGUGUUUAUGCGGCUAUGAAUUGUGUUGUGUGUGGCCAUCAAUUUUGUAGGUAAUGGAACUGACUCAUUUUUGCUCUGGAAA